UAGCUCUUUAACAAUUUGGAAAGCUGACUGAUAACAACGAACGUGUUUGUUGUUGUCAAAUAAAAGUUCUCAACAUCAAUACGUUUAACGUAUUGAUACCAAACACAUUCAAGUGUUCUUGGGAAAGCUUACUACGGUAAGUUUUCAAAAUUGAGUCCGGCAAAAUCAAACGUCUCUCGCUCAUUCAAAUAAUGAGAGACAACCUUGGUGACUUGUCUGCAACACGAAACUUCUUCGGGUUGUAU
rnacentral:misc_RNA from 1 species